AGUCAAGUUGCAUGGGAUCAAUUCCAAUCUGUACCUCUGAGGAUGUGGACAGGCUGCUUGAACAAGUGAAACCGAUCACCUGUCUCCUGGAUCCUUGUGAUCCUGGCUAAUAAAAGCUAGCCGGGAAGGGCUGGGUGAUGGGCUCUGCGGGAUGGUGAAUGUUUCCAUCUGUGUCCUGCUGCAUGACAUUGCCCUGUAUUUCGCUGGUAAACAUUGCAUCCAUAGCCUCAUAAAAGUUUCCCAAGUCCUGGAAGGCAUUGUUUUCAGCUCACCUAUUCCCUGGCGCCCCCCUCUAAAUGAGCAACCACAAAGGCAACCCUCUCCUUGUCAUUUUCAAACUCCCUCCUUUGCAAGUCCAGGGCGUAUUUGAUCUCAGUCUUAAAGGCAAGGUAUUCCUGAGGGUUCCCACUAGAUUUGCUCACCAGCGACAGUACCUAUCUCCCCACCAGAGUGGCCCUGAUUUGCUGGUCCUGCGCUCUGCACUCCUCCAGUCUGGCUCCCAGCCCUUCCAGGUCCGUGUUUCUCUGCCUCAGGGCUGCUACUUGAUGCGCAAUUUCUUCAUCCAUUGUGCUGCUCUGCACUGCUACACACAAGCAACCACAGUGACUACCGGAAUACUGUCAGGUUUGCAGGUGGUUGCUUGCAAGUAAACAGCCAGGACUCCAACCUGUCUUUUACAGGUUUUAUUUAGAGCAAACUAUGUACAGUGCAGGAACCCAAAGUUCAUAUCUGUCUCAGUCACUUGCACAUUCCGGGAGUGCCCCUUUCCAGUUCCCCCCCAACAUAAGAACUUGGCCACCCCAAAUCUCCGCAUCUCCUCCUUCCGUUUCACCCCUCUGCGAAAACUGGGUGACUGAAGCGGCAUGUCUGUUUCCUGACCAGCCUGGCUAAGCAAAGCGCUUGGGCUCACAGUAGCAUUGUACUAUGAGGCUGCUUGUUUGGUAUGGAUUAGGGACUGGAUAAAACUGGAAAAGCAAGAAGCAUUGGAUUUGGAAGGCCAUGACAACAGAUUGGGAUGACACACAUACUUAUGGUAUGGGAAAGGAAAAGUACAUAAAAGUUUUUACAAUCAUAUAAUUAGGAAAUCAUUAAUGAGAGUUUGGGAGAGAUACAAAUAGACCAGAAGACCCCUUGGUGGCUUUCACCACUUGAAGCUUUAUUGCUCAAGCCACUUGGUAAAAAAGGAAAAUGGCUUACAUAUAGGGAUUUGCUAAAGGAUCAAGAAGGAAAAUGGAAAUUAAAAGAGUAUGAGGAAAUAAAAGACUAUUUUCAGAGUUGGCUACAUUAAAGGCAACUACACGAGAUAUAUAAAGAAGACAAGAAAGGAUUUAGUUACACUACUUCUAGAUUUCAAAAGGAAGUCAUAGAAGGGAAAGUGAAGUUGCUGAAGGAUGCAUAUAGUAUUUUGCUAGAAUGGGAAACAAAAGAUGAAAAGGUGAAAUCAGUCAUGAUUAAAUGGGCACAAGAUAUAGAUCAUAACAUACUAUUUGAGGACUGGGAAAAAUAGUGGAAAACAGGUUUAAAACCUACAGAUUGCUCUCUUUUGAAAGAAAAUUAUAUGAAAAUGAUGUAUAGAUGGUAUAUAACACCAGUACAGAUUGCAAGAAUGUAUAAAACUGGGUCAAAUGCAUGUUGGAAAUGCAAAGAAAAAGAAGGGACUUUUUACCAUAUGUGGUGGGAAUGUAGAGAAAUUAAUUUUUGGGGGGAAAUAAUAAUGAGUUGAAGAAAAUGUUUAAACUAACAUUUGUCAAAAAACCCAGAAGCAUUCUCGUUAGGGAUUGUAGGAAAAGACCUGCCGAGGAAAUGAAAGAACUUAUUUAUGUAUGUGACAACGGCGGCAAGAGUCUUGAUAGCACAAGGAUGGAAGAAUGAAGAACAGUGGCAAGGGAAAUUGAUGGACUAUGCGGAACUGGCGAAAUUGAAAUAAACUGCGAGACAAGGACAACUGUAGCUUUAAAGAAGAAUGGGAACUUUUUACAAAUUACUUAAAACAACAACAAAAUGAAUUGGACUCUUUGGCAGGUUUUGAAUAAACAUACACAAAUUUA